rnacentral:rRNA from 1 species
GACGAACGCUGGCGGCGUGCUUAACACAUGCAAGUCGAACGGGAUCCGGGCUUUCGGGUUUGGUGAGAGUGGCGAACGGGUGAGUAACACGUGAGUACCCUGCCCCCUUCUUUGGGAUAACGUCGGGAAAUCGGCGCUAAUACUGGUUAUUCUUGCUGCAUCGCAUGGUGUGGUUUGGAAAGGGUUUCUGGUGGGGGAUGGGUUCGCGGCCUAUCAGCUUGUUGGUGGGGUGAUGGCCUACCAAGGCUUUGACGGGUAGCCGGCCUGAGAGGGUGUCCGGCCACACUGAGACUGAGACACGGCCCAGACUCCGACGGGCGGCAGCAGUGGGGAAUAUUACGCGAUGGGCACAAGCCUGAUGCAGCGACGCGGCGAGAGAGAUGGCGGCCUUCGGGUUGUAAACCUCUUUCAGUAUGGAACAAGGAUCCUUCGUUUGGGGAGUUUGAGGGUACGUUCAGAAGAAGCGCCGGCUAACUACGUG